rnacentral:lncRNA from 1 species
GUUUGUGGUAACCAUAGAACACAGAAGUGGAGCUUUAUCCAGAGUGGUAAAGCUAAAACAGACAGCUAGGGUGAGUGAGAAAUGCCGAAUACUUAGAAAAAAAAUAGAAAAGGGUCAAGAUGGAAACCAAAGGCAGAAGUGAGAAGUUAUACAAGCUAGGAAGUUCACAGAAGACAGAGGAUGAACUAGGUCUCAAGAGUCCAGCAUCUGAGACUCUAGGAUCAAGCUAAAGACAAAGUGAAGCUUUCUCUAUUUUUUUCUUAAAUAUUUCCUUUCUAGAAAAGAAAAAAACAACCCAAUCUGCAUUUGAAGAACUGGCCAUAUAGUUGUGUGGAAAGUGGGUGAAAUAACAAGGAAACGACAAAGAAUAUGGCCAGUCUAGUUAAUUUCUUGAGCAGGAAACUGGAUCAGUUAACGGAAACAAAUAACGUAGUAAUGGGUAAGACAAAGCCUGGAUAUUUGAGAGCCCACAUUUGGGGGAAAAUUACGAAGACAGAGGGCAGUGUCAUAUGGAAGAGGAAACGAAAAGGAUGCAGGAAAUCAUUUUUAAAUGUACCUGUGAUCUAUGGUGUUGAAUAUCAAAUGUUGCAAAGAUGUUGAGAAAUGGCAGAUCUGAUAAUGGUGGAUUGCUAUUGCCCCUGGAAAGAACUUUCCAUAGAAUUUGUGCCCUCCACACUAAGAGAGGUUUUCUGGGUGCUACAGAAAAUAGAUAAGAGUUAGUUUUACACGGAAAAAUCUCCAAUAGUUUUCUCUCGCUAUCAACAUUCAUUCUUCUUGGCCCCCAGGAAUAAGCAGUGCCUCCUGGGGUGGCCAGAUACAUGUAUACUGAUCCGUGUCAUCGGAAAGAAGGAGGGGAUCUACUGGAUUCUGAUUUGGGAUCCAAUUCAGAAUGGAUCAUACAGUCAGGGAAGUUAUAAUGCAGUAUAAGUAACGAACGUCUCCAUUCCUAAUGUAAUGUGAAGGCUGCACUGCAUGGGCUCCAAAGUCCCAUCUACCUCUAACCUUCUGGACAUGUGGGUCAAGGAAUAAAAACUCUGGCAGGCAACAAAAAGGAUGGGAAAUGUGACAGGCACAGAGAUGUGCUACUCAGAUCACCCUUCAGGAAAGGACUUGCCUGCCAUCCAGCUGUGUGACGUGUGGGCAGCCGACAGGUUUCAGCUGUUAGAGCCUUUAGGCUCCAUCUCACUCUCGAGCUCAUGGAUUGCUCAGAGCAGAGCUUGGUCAAUAGUGGAACAAGGUGGUGACACCAAGGCUUAGCCCAGUGACUCCUGUGCUGAGCGAUCUUUGCUCCAGAGUUCCCCAUUGGUCUGGCAGAGACUGUCAGGUCUGCAUGAGGGUCUACCCAAUCCAACUUCCCUCCCUUUACUUGUACAGAGUUCCCUCUCUAAGACACCUUUUGUACUUCUAACUCCCUCUUAGGAUCUGCUUCCUGGAGAACCCCCAUGGUGACAGAGGAUGAGUUGCAAACAAAGUGGCAUGCAAUGCAGAAGAGGGUGUGAUGGAUCCAACCACUGGGGGAACUGAGGAAGGUGAAGUCAUGAAGGAAACUGCAUUUGAGUUGACUCUGAAGAUGAACAGGAGUUGAAUGAGUAGGAAAGAAGAAAAUAGGCAUUUCAAGCAGCGGGAUGGACACAUGCACAAAGGCAUGUUAUAAAGAGCAGGAUGUGGGAGCAUGGGUAAUGCAUGGAACCAUGUGGACGUGUGCAGUGGUCGGGGUGGGGGAUGAAGCGGGGAGAUAAAGCUGGGAAAUACGGGAUCCAACAUAAACAGCUGUCACAAACACUCUAUGUAUAUACUCCUAUUGGUUUGUAGACUCUGAUAAAGGGAAAUGGUAGUCCUGGGAGAAGAAUGAGCUGUACAAAGCAAUAAAAUAUGUAGAAUUCCAUAGCAUAGUAUUUUUGACAGCCCUAAAACAGAUAUUUUACUUCUAUGUAGGUGGUUUCCUUGAAAAAAUAGCACCUGCUAUUUGUUAAGGAGAGAAUGAAUUACUUGUCCCAUGGUACAGUUAAAUCAAUCAUAUCAUAACACCAAUCUAUCAUGUAAAAUUCAUCUCUAGGCCCAUGUUUUGAGGAAAGAAAAUGGCAGUUAAUAUUCCUAUUGCUGACUACUUAUUCAAGAGAAGAAAAAGACAUGUUUAUGUGGUUCUAAAAUAACUUCCUUAAGCCCAUUAUCAAAUUCUAACAAGGAAGACCAUCCAUCCUAAGGAAGUUAUUUUAUAAAUCAUAAUUUGCUUUUAUUAAAAAAAAAUUACCAAACUGCAUUCCAAGAAACACAGAGUCCUGUGGGUU